GACCCGCAGGAAAGUGCCACAGAAAACAGACCGCCGAUGGCCCGGUUCCCUCUCUACGGGAGGUGCACCGGGCACAGGUAAGGGUGAAACGGUGCGGUAAGAGCGCACCAGCGACCGGGGUGAUCCGGUCGGCUAGGUAAACCCCAUCCGGAGCAAGGCCGAACAGGGAGAGGGCGGUCCGCCCGUGGACACUCCCAGGUGGGCCGCACAGAUGGAUGGCCACACAACCAGAGUCCCGUAAAGGGGCCGGUGGACAGAACCCCGCCUACAGGCUGGCUCACCGU
rnacentral:RNase_P_RNA from 1 species